GCACCCGUAGCUCAAUUGGAUAGAGCAACGCACUCCUAACGCGUAGGUUGAUGGUUCGAUUCCGUCCGGGUGCG
rnacentral:tRNA from 1 species